UAGGGAAUAUUGGACAAUGGGUGAGAGCCUGAUCCAGCCAUGCCGCGUGCAGGAAGAAGGCGUUAUGCGUUGUAAACUGCUUUUUGCCAGGGGAUAAAAAGACCGUGCGCGGUUAAUUGAAGGUACCUGGUGAAUAAGCCACGGCUAACUACGUGCCAGCAGCCGCGGUAAUACGUAGGUGGCAAGCGUUGUCCGGAUUUAUUGGGUUUAAAGGGUGCGUAGGUGGCCCUGUAAGUCAGUGGUGAAAUAUCUCAGCUUAACUGAGAGGGUGCCAUUGAUACUGCAGGGCUUGAGUACAGAUGAGGUAGGCGGAAUUGACGGUGUAGCGGUGAAAUGCAUAGAUAUCGUCAAGAACACCGAUAGCGAAGGCAGCUUACCAAGCUGUAACUGACACUGAGGCACGAAAGUGUGGGGAUCAAACAGGAUUAGAUACCCAAGUAGUACCCUGAGCGGGCUGGCAAGGCGCAU
rnacentral:rRNA from 1 species